AGAGUUUGAUUCUGGCUCAGGAUGAACGCUGGCGGCGUGUCUAACACAUGCAAGUCGAACGGGGUAGCAAUACCUAGUGGCGGACGGGUGAGUAACGCGUGAGAAUUUGCCUUCAGGAUGGGGACAACAGCGGGAAACUGCUGCUAAUACCCGAUAGGCUGAAAAGUGAAAGAUUUAUCGCCUGAAGAGAAGCUCGCGUCUGAUUAGCUAGUUGGUAGUGUAAGGGACUACCAAGGCGACGAUCAGUAGCUGGUCUGAGAGGAUGAGCAGCCACACUGGGACUGAGACACGGCCCAGACUCCUACGGGAGGCAGCAGUGGGGAAUUUUCCGCAAUGGGCGAAAGCCUGACGGAGCAACGCCGCGUGAGGGAGGAAGGCCUUUGGGUUGUAAACCUCUUUUCUAGGGGAAGAAGCAAGUGACGGUACCCUAGGAAUCAGCAUCGGCUAACUCCGUGCCAGCAGCCGCGGUAAUACGGAGGAUGCAAGCGUUAUCCGGAAUUAUUGGGCGUAAAGCGUCCGCAGGUGGCUAUACAAGUCUGCUGUCAAAGACCGUAGCUUAACUACGGAAAGGCGGUGGAAACUGUAAGGCUAGAGGCCGGUAUGGGUAGCGGGAAUUUCCAGUGUAGCGGUGAAAUGCGUAGAGAUUGGAAAGAACAUCGGUGGCGAAAGCGCGCUACUGGGCUGUGCCUGACACUGAGGGACGAAAGCUAGGGGAGCGAAAGGGAUUAGAUACCCCUGUAGUCCUAGCCGUAAACGAUGGAGACUAGGCGUAGCUUGUAUCGACCCAAGCUGUGCCGAAGCUAACGCGUUAAGUCUCCCGCCUGGGGAGUACGCACGCAAGUGUGAAACUCAAAUGAAUUGACGG
rnacentral:rRNA from 1 species